ACCGAUAUCACAAUUGAUACUGGGUCGAUCACCGCUAAAUGCCUCUACGUGACCCACCGCUUCUCCUCGCUCUCCCGCUUCUCUUCUUCUCGACGAAAGGUUUUCGAGCUGCGUGAACCCUAGCCCCGAGGAAAACGCUGAACUUUGGAUGCCGAUCCGGGAGCCAUGGCCGCGGCCAACCCUCCGAUCACCAUGGGAGAGUUCCUGACUCUUCCAAAUCUGGGGAUAAAGCCACAUUUCAUCACUUUUAUGCAUGUAACGAUGGAGCCAGAGAAAUACACAUAGGGAGACUUCUCUGCAGAACAGUGUUGUUAUCUCGACAUGAACAUGCCGAUGCAGCCGUUGAGGAGCCCUGUCACUGGGGACUCGGCAUUGAUGAAUCCAAACAGCAGGAUUCUUGCUCUCAAAGCUAAACUACCGGGAACUACUCGGGACCACAUACAAAUAUUCAAUAUUGAGGCAAAAGUAAAAAUUAAAUCACACAAGAUUCCAAAACAGGUUGUCUUUUGGAAGUGGAUCACUUCAAAGAUCACGCAAACCUCAGUGUAUCAUUGGUCAAUAGAAGGUUACAGCUAAGAUUCAAGAGUUUUUUUUGGGUAUGCCCAGUUGCUGCCUCUUGCAUUGCCCCAGGCAUGGGUGGACCUUUUCGCGGCCGCACCACCAGUGGAUGGGAUGGGGAUGCCUCCAAUGCCACUCUUUGGCACAUCUCCGUUGGGAAGUUACUAAAAAAUUUGAUGUUUGUCCACAGUUGUGUUAGGUGAUACACAUUUGGUACUGGUGAACAAUUUAUAAUUUAUUGCAGCAGCAGGUGGUCAGUCAAGAAAAAGUAUAACAACAUUUGUAAUUUUAAUAUAGGCAUUGGUUUUGCAUUGGUACCCGGCAAUUUUUUUGGGUGCCGUGCAAUACUGUGCUUAGGAUUCUGUUUGGUGACUGAUCUCUUUUUGAUGUAACUGGUGACUGAUCUCCUGCGAUGAGCAGAUGCAGCUGAGUUUUGUGAGAGCAUAGUCAGUAGCUGGUUUCUUGUGUAUAGGUGGUACUCAAUACUUUCAUUAAAUGGAUCGGAUGGCUUAUAAAGCCAUAUCUGAUGUACUACAGUGGGAAAAUGAGCACUUGGAUUGCAUUCUUUCUGCGGACUGCAGCAUUGCUCGAAGAAUUCCAUCAUCUAGAGCAUUGGUAAUGGGCCACUGAUAUCUCUUUCAUCAUUCGCAUGCUUGACGGCCUUGAAUGUUUCGGUGAUGGUAUGCAACCGGAAAUUCUUCUCCGCCAUAGUUUUAUUAUUAUUGAAGUCAUUGUAUGUAUGCUUAAAAUAACUAGAUGAAGAAUGUUAUUAUUCAGGGUUAACUACAAAUUGAACUUGUCCUUUGAAGCAUUUAUAUUGAUAUAUCAUCUCAUUGCUCGGAUCUA